CUGAUUGCUAUCUGAUUGGUACUAACCCAUGCGAGUCAUUGUAGCACUACCAGGCGGACGGCUCAGGAACACGAUAGUCAACCUAACUCGUGGACGUGGAUAACCUCGGGAAACUGACAAUAAACCACGAUAGAUCAUAGUGCCUGGAAUGGCUUAUGGUCCAAACAGUUUACUGCCAUGGGAUGGGACUGCGGCCUAUCAGCUUGUUGGUGAGGUAAUGGCCCACCCAGGCGAUUACAGGUACGGGCUCUGAGAGGAGUAUCCCGGAGAUGGGUACUGAGACACGGACCCUCGCCCUAUGGGGCGCAGCAGGCGAGAAACCUUAGCAAUGUGCGAAAGCACGACUGGGUCAGUCCGAGUGAUUCCUGAUAAAGGAGUCUUUUGCCUGUCCUAAAAGCACAGGUGAAUAAGGGGUGGGCAAGUCUGGUGUCAGCCGCCGCGAUAAUACCAGCACCUCUAGUGCUCAAGACGUUUAUUGUGCCUAAAGCAUCCGUAGCCGGCUCUGCAAGUCUUCGGUUAAAUCCACCUGCUCAGCAGAUGGGCCGCUGGAGAUACUACAGAGCUAGGGAGUGGGAGAGGCAGACGGUAUUCAGUGGGUAGGGGUAAAAUCCUCUGAUCCAUUGAGGACCUCCAGUGGCGAAGGCGGUCUGCCAGAACACGUUCAACGGUGAGGCAUGAAAGCUGGCGGAGCAUACCGGAUUAGAUGCCCGGGUAGUCCCUGCUGUAAAUGAUGCAAACUCCGAGAUGCAUUGACUUAUGGCCAAUGCAGUGCCGCCAGGAAGCCGUUACUUUGCCGUCAGGGAAGUAC
rnacentral:rRNA from 1 species